AGAGUUUGAUCCUGGCUCAGAACGAACGCUGGCGGCAGGCCUAACACAUGCAAGUCGAACGGGAUCUUCGGAUCUAGUGGCGGACGGGUGAGUAACGCGUGGGAACGUGCCCUUUGCUUCGGAAUAGCCCCGGGAAACUGGGAGUAAUACCGGAUACGCCCUUUGGGGGAAAGAUUUAUCGGCAAAGGAUCGGCCCGCGUUGGAUUAGGUAGUUGGUGGGGUAAUGGCCUACCAAGCCGACGAUCCAUAGCUGGUUUGAGAGGAUGAUCAGCCACACUGGGACUGAGACACGGCCCAGACUCCUACGGGAGGCAGCAGUGGGGAAUCUUAGACAAUGGGGGAAACCCUGAUCUAGCCAUGCCGCGUGAGCGAUGAAGGCCUUAGGGUUGUAAAGCUCUUUCAGUGGGGAAGAUAAUGACGGUACCCACAGAAGAAGCCCCGGCUAACUCCGUGCCAGCAGCCGCGGUAAUACGGAGGGGGCUAGCGUUGUUCGGAAUUACUGGGCGUAAAGCGCAUGUAGGCGGAUUGGAAAGUUGGGGGUGAAAUCCCGGGGCUCAACCCCGGAACUGCCUUCAAAACUCCCAGUCUUGAGGUCGAGAGAGGUGAGUGGAAUUCCGAGUGUAGAGGUGAAAUUCGUAGAUAUUCGGAGG
rnacentral:rRNA from 1 species